UGGGAAUAUUGGACAAUGGGGGCAACCCUGAUCCAGCCAUGCCGCGUGAGUGAUGAAGGCCUUAGGGUUGUAAAGCUCUUUCACCCGGGACGAUAAUGACGGUACCGGGAGAAGAAGCCCCGGCUAACUUCGUGCCAGCAGCCGCGGUAAUACGAAGGGGGCUAGCGUUGUUCGGAAUCACUGGGCGUAAAGCGCACGUAGGCGGACCGUUAAGUCGGAGGUGAAAUCCUGGGGCUCAACCCCAGAACUGCCUUCGAUACUGGCGGUCUCGAGUCCGGGAGAGGUGAGUGGAACUGCCAGUGUAGAGGUGAAAUUCGUAGAUAUUGGCAAGAACACCAGUGGCGAAGGCGGCUCACUGGUCCGGUGCUGACGCUGAGGUGCGAAAGCGUGGGGAGCAAAACAGGAUUAGAUACCCUGGUAGUCCACGCCGUAAACGAUGAAUGCCAGCCGUCGGGCAGCAUGCUGUUCGGUGGCGCAGCUAACGCUUUAAGCAUUCCGCCUGGGGAGUACGGUCGCAAGAUUAAAACUCAAAUGAAUUGACGGGGUCAUAGCUGUUUCCU
rnacentral:rRNA from 1 species